ensembl:lncRNA
AGGCUACUUUCCAAUGGUACAGCCUAGAUCUGUAUGGUACUGGAAGAGAAAGCAAGUGUGUCUUGAUAGGUUGAUACACAGCCCCUGUUUGAGUUUCCCGAGCCAUACAGCAAAUUCCUGUUGGCCAUCUAUUCCAUAUGGCAAUGGGACACAGGUUUGAUCCCUGGUCCGGGAAGAUUCCACAUGCCAUGGGACAACGAAGCCCAUGUGCCACAACUGCUGAGCCCUGGCACUCUAGAGCCACGCUCCCCAGCAAGAGAAGCCCAUGCGCCACAACUGCUGAGCCCUGGCACUCUAGAGCCAUGCUCCCCAACAAGAGAAGCCACACCAAUGAGAAGUCCACGCGCCACAACUAGAGAGGAGCCCCAGCUCUCGGCAACUGGAGGAAGUCCACUGGAGCAACAA